rnacentral:misc_RNA from 1 species
UCUCCGUUGGUGAACCAGCGGAGGGAUCAUUACCAGAGAGUUGCAAAACUACUACUUUGCUGUGAACUAACCUCUAUUCUCCUUCGGCACGCAGCCCCAGGGCGGGGCCGCGGUCUGCUACAACGCAGGCGUCUACCGCAGACACCUCUAUCACUUGUUUUACAGAACGGUUGAGUCUUUCUAAAACGAAUCAAAACUUUCCACAACGGAUCACUUGCUUCUGGCAUCGAAGAAGCACGCAUCAGAACGGCAGACCACACCUCCGAACUCCAGUCACGC